AGAUGGCGACCGGCGCACGGGUGAGUAACACGUAUCCAACCUGCCGAUAACUCGGGGAUAGCCUUUCGAAAGAAAGAUUAAUACCCGAUGGCAUAAUAGAAUCGCAUGGUUUGAUUAUUAAAGAAUUUCGGUUAUCGAUGGGGAUGCGUUCCAUUAGGUUGUUGGCGGGGUAACGGCCCACCAAGCCUUCGAUGGAUAGGGGUUCUGAGAGGAAGGUCCCCCACAUUGGAACUGAGACACGGUCCAA
rnacentral:rRNA from 1 species